GCUAGCUUGGUACGUCUUAAAACAUGCAAGGUGCGAACGUGAAGCCCGGGCUUGCCCGGGUGGAAUAGGGGCGAACGGGUGCGUAACACGUGCAGCAACCUGCUCCCGAAAUACCGGGGAUAACACCGGGAAACCGGUGCUAAUACCGGAUGCCUUGACCACGUCUCAUGGGGAGGUGAAGAAAUGGAUUCCGCUUCGGGAUGGGCUCGCGGCCUAUCAGCUUGUUGGUGGGGUAACGGCCUACCAAGGCAACGACUGGUAGCUGGUCUGACAGGAUGUCCAUCCACACUGGGACUGAGACACGGACCAUACUCCUACUGGGAGGGAGCAGUUAGGAAUCUUGCGCAGUGGGAGAAAGCCUGACGCAGCGAUUCCGAGUGCGGGAUGAAGGCCUUCGGGUCGUAUACCUCUUUCUCUGGGACGAUGGUGACGGUACCUGCCCAAGAAGCCCCGGGCAACUACGUGCCAGCAGCCGCCUUAAUACGUAGACGGGCGAGCG
rnacentral:rRNA from 1 species